rnacentral:misc_RNA from 1 species
GAUGAAGAACGUAGCGAAAUGCGAUACGUAAUGUGAAUUGCAGAUUUCAGUGAAUCAUCGAAUCUUUGAACGCACAUUGCGCCCGCCAGUAUUCUGGCGGGCAUGCCUGUUCGAGCGUCAUUUCAACCAUCAAGCGCCUCGCUUGUGUUGGGGCCCUGCGGCUGCCGCAGGCCCCUAAAUCCAGUGGCGGGCUCGUCGUCGUACCGAGUGCAGUUAACAUCCUCGCUCAGGGAACCCGACGGGUGCCGGCCGUGAAACCCCCCCUCCUCAAGGUUGACCUCGGAUCAGGUAGGAAUACCCGCUGAACUUAAGCAUAUCAAUAAGCGGAGGA